GACGAACGCUGGCGGCGUGCCUAAUACAUGCAAGUCGAACGCAGUGGGGACGGGUGAUUAACACGUGGGUAACCUCCCAUCAGAGGGGAUAACACUUUGAAACAGGUGCUAAACCGAUACUGAUGUAUGGACCCGCGGUGCAUUAGCUAGUGGGUGAGGUAACGACUCACCAAGGCCACGAUGCCUAGCCGGCCUGAGAGGAUGAUCGGCCACACUGGAACUGAGACACGGCCCAGAAUCCUACGGGAGGCAGCAGUAGGGAAUCUUCGGCAAUGGACGAAAGUCUGACCGAGCAACGCCGCGUGAGUGAAGAAGGUUUUCGGAUCGUAAAACUCUGUUGUUAGAGAAGCGGUAUCUAACCAAAAAGCCACGGCUAACUACGUGCCAGCAGCCGCGGUAAUUC
rnacentral:rRNA from 1 species